UACGUAGGGUGCAAGCGUUGUCCGGAAUUAUUGGGCGUAAAGAGCUCGUAGGCGGUCUGUCGCGUCUGCUGUGAAAACUCAGGGCUUAACCCUGAGCUUGCAGUGGGUACGGGCAGACUAGAGUGCGGUAGGGGAGACUGGAAUUCCUGGUGUAGCGGUGAAAUGCGCAGAUAUCAGGAGGAACACCGGUGGGCGAAGGCGGUUCUCUGGGAAUACCUGACGCUGA
rnacentral:rRNA from 1 species